rnacentral:tRNA from 3 species
CGCGGGGUGGAGCAGUCUGGUAGCUCGUCGGGCUCAUAACCCGGAGGUCGCAGGUUCGAAUCCUGUCCCCGCUACCA